rnacentral:lncRNA from 1 species
UUGCAUACUCUGCCGGUGUCGCUUCUGGCUGUCUUCAAUCAAUAACAUAAAUUAAACGUAAUAAGAUAAUUAACUCAAAUUAAAUACCAUAUUCAUAUUCUUGUAACAACACUCUUUAACCAAUAAGCAAAAUCAAUACCCAUUCCUCCCAACAAGAGGAUUACCCUCAAACACACCAAAAAACGCAUGGCACAGCAGAAGAAGCAGAACAACACACAAAGGGCCACAGGUCUCUCGUAUUUCAGUGAAAAUAAAAGACAAAAAGUGUGAAAAAACGGACCUUCAGGAACUAAACACCAACCCAACUCUUUCUAUCCAAACAAAUCGAGCAGAAGCAACCCAACUCCACUGGUAACCUAAUAAACCAAAUUGAAGAUAAAAAUUUAAAAUAUGAAUUGAAUUUAGGUUAUAAAAA